GGAGAAGGAAGUGCAAGGGAGGCUGGAAAAGACGACACAUCAAAUCCCAACACGGCAGCAGAAAAGCUCGCCAUCUAGAGGACCAUUCACACAGUCCAGUCACUCAGCCCUAUCCAGAAGCUCUCAAGGAUACAUUAGUGGAAGUUGCUUUGCUGUUAUGACCAAUCCCACGCUACCAGACAACAUCAAGGAUUUUAAAUGUUUACAUUUGCUUCAAGUGUGUUUUUCUACUGAAAGUUGAGAGAUGACACUUGUAUGGAGUUCGACGUUUCAAAGGAUAACUUGAAGCAUAAAGCCCAUUUUCCAGUUGGUUUUGGCUCAGUAAAACAAAGUAAAACACACCAAUCCCUGUCCUAAUUUCAACAAUAUGUACCAAUGUGGUGUAUCUGGUACUUCUUGUAGUAAAUCAAGCUCAUUU